rnacentral:rRNA from 1 species
UCGAACGGACACUUUCGGGUGUUAGUGGCGGACGGGUGAGUAACGCGUGAGAAUCUGCCUUCAGGUUCGGGACAACCAUUGGAAACGAUGGCUAAUACCGGAUAUGCCUUAAUGGGUGAAAGAUUAAUUGCCUGAAGAUGAGCUCGCGUCUGAUUAGCUAGUUGGUGGGGUAAAGGCCUACCAAGGCGACGAUCAGUAACUGGUCUGAGAGGAUGAUCAGUCACACUGGAACUGAGACACGGUCCAGACUCCUACGGGAGGCAGCAGUGGGGAAUUUUCCGCAAUGGGCGAAAGCCUGACGGAGCAAUACCGCGUGAGGGAGGAAGGCUCUUGGGUUGUAAACCUCUUUUCUUAGGGAAGAACAAAAUGACGGUACCUAAGGAAUAAGCAUCGGCUAACUCCGUGCCAGCAGCCGCGGUAAUACGGAGGAUGCAAGCGUUAUCCGGAAUGAUUGGGCGUAAAGCGUCCGCAGGUGGUUUUGUAAGUCUAUUGUUAAAGCGUUUGGCUCAACCAAAUAUAGGCGGUGGAAACUACAAGACUAGAGUACGUUCGGGGCAGAGGGAAUUCCUGGUGUAGCGGUGAAAUGCGUAGAGAUCAGGAAGAACACCGGUGGCGAAAGCGCUCUGCUAGGCCGUAACUGACACUGAGGGACGAAAGCUAGGGGAGCGAAUGGGAGUAGAUACCCCAGUAGUCCUAGCCGUAAACGAUGGAUACUAGGCGUGGCUUGUAUCGACCCGAGCCGUGCCGAGC